rnacentral:rRNA from 1 species
AUUUGCGGCAGGCUUUAACAUGCAAGUCGAACGGUAACAGGGUGCUUGCACCGCUGACGAGUGGCGAACGGGUGAGUAAUGCAUCGGAAUGUACCGUGUAAUGGGGGAUAGCUCGGCGAAAGCCGGAUUAAUACCGCAUACGCCCUGAGGGGGAAAGUGGGGGACCGAAAGGCCUCACGUUAUACGAGCAGCCGAUGUCUGAUUAGCUAGUUGGUGGGGUAAAGGCUCACCAAGGCGACGAUCAGUAGCGGGUCUGAGAGGAUGAUCCGCCACACUGGGACUGAGACACGGCCCAGACUCCUACGGGAGGCAGCAGUGGGGAAUUUUGGACAAUGGGCGCAAGCCUGAUCCAGCCAUGCCGCGUGUCUGAAGAAGGCCUUCGGGUUGUAAAGGACUUUUGUCCGGGAGCAAAUCCCAGUGGUUAACACCUACUGGGGCUGAGAGUACCGGAAGAAUAAGCACCGGCUAACUACGUGCCAGCAGCCGCGGUAAUACGUAGGGUGCAAGCGUUAAUCGGAAUUACUGGGCGUAAAGCGUGCGCAGGCGGUUGUGCAAGUCUGAUGUGAAAGCCCCGGGCUUAACCUGGGAACGGCAUUGGAGACUGCACGACUAGAGUGCGUCAGAGGGGGGUAGAAUUCCGCGUGUAGCAGUGAAAUGCGUAGAGAUGCGGAGGAAUACCGAUGGCGAAGGCAGCCCCCUGGGAUGACACUGACGCUCAUGCACGAAAGCGUGGGGAGCAAACAGGAUUAGAUACCCUGGUAGUCCACGCCCUAAACGAUGUCAACUAGCUGUUGGGGGUUUGAAUCCUUGGUAGCGAAGCUAACGCGAGAAGUUGACCGCCUGGGGAGUACGGCCGCAAGGUUAAAACUCAAAGGAAUUGACGGGGACCCGCACAAGCGGUGGAUGAUGUGGAUUAAUUCGAUGCAACGCGAAAAACCUUACCUGGUCUUGACAUGUAACGAACGCUGCAGAGAUGUGGUUGGUGCCCGAAGGGAGCGUUAACACAGUGCUGCAUGGCUGUCGUCAGCCUCCGUGUCGUGAGAUGUUGGUUAAGUCCCGCAACGAGCGCCAACCCUUGCCAUUAGUUGCCAUCAUUAAAGUUGGCCACCUCUAAUUGGGACUGGCCGGUGACCAACCCGGAGAAGUGUGGGGAUGACGUUCAAGUUCCCUCAUGGCCAUUUAUUGACAGCUUUCCCAACGUCUAUACAAUGUCCGUACAGAAGGGUCGCCGGAAAGCCCGCGCUAG